GUGAUGACUCUCGGCAACGGAUAUCUCGGCUCUCGCAUCGAUGAAGAACGCAGCGAAAUGCGAUACGUGGUGUGAAUUGCAGAAUCCCGCGAGCCAUCGAGUUUUUGAACGCAAGUUGCGCCCGAGGGACUCGCCCGAGGGCACGCCUGCCUCAUGGGCGUUAGAA
rnacentral:rRNA from 1 species